UGAGUACGAGAUGCUACGGCAUCGAAACAGUCUAUGUCAUACUUCCAAGAAAAGCUUGCAAUGUCAUAAACAAAUAAUGCCUGUACCAUAACCGACACAGGUGGGUAGGUAGAGUAUACUAAGGGGCGCGAGAUAACUCUCUCUAAGGAACUCGGCAAAAUGACUCCGUAACUUCGGGAGAAGGAGUGCCUUAUUUUUAUAAGGUUGCAAUAACAAGAUCCAAGCAACUGUUUACCAAAAACACAGGUCUCCGCUAAGUCGUAAGACGAUGUAUGGGGGCUGACGCCUGCCCAGUGCCAGAAGGUUAAAGAAGUUGGUUAGCAUUAGCGAAGCUGAUAACUGAAGCCCUGGUGAACGGCGGCCGUAACGAUAACGGUCCUAAGGUAGCGAAAUUCCUUGUCGGGUAAGUUCCGACCCGCACGAAAGGUGUAAUGAUUUGGAUACUGUCUCGGAGAGGGGCUCGGUGAAAUAGACUUGUCUGUGAAGAUGCGGACUACCUGCACCUGGACAGAAAGACCCUAUGAAGCUUUACUGUAACUUGAGAUUGAAAUUGGACUUUAUCUGCGCAGUAUAGGUGGGAGACGUUGAAAAUAUACUUGCGGGAAUAUUGGAGUCAUCAGUGAGAUACCACUCUAUAAUGUUAGAUUUCUAACUUUGUAUCAUUAUCUGGUCAAAGAACAGUUUCAGGCGGGCAGUUUGACUGGGGCGGUCGCCUCCCAAACGGUAACGGAGGCGCACAAAGGUUUCCUCUGAACGUGUAGAAAUCGUAUCUAGAGUGUAAAGGCAUAAGGAAGCUUGACUGUGAGACCUACAAGUCGAGCAGGGACGAAAGUCGGUCUUAGUGAUCUGACGGUGCUGAGUGGAAAGGCCGUCACUCAACGGAUAAAAGUUACUCUAAGGAUAACAGGCUGAUCUCCCCCAAGAGUUCACAUCGACGGGGAGGUUUGGCACCUCGAUGUCGGCUCAUCGCAUCCUGGGGCGGUAGUACGUCCCAAGGGUUGGGCUGUUCGCCCAUGAAAGCGGUACGCGAGCUGGGUUCAGAACGUCGUGAGACAGUUCGGUCCAUAUCCGGUGUAGGCGUUAGAAUAUUGAGAGGAGCCUUCUUUAGUACGAGAGGACCGAGAAGGACAUACCUCUGGUGUACCAGUUAUCGUGCCAACGGUAAACGCUGGGUAGCCAUGUAUGGAGAGGAUAACCGCUGAAAGCAUCUAAGUGGGAAGCCCACCUCAAGAUAAGUAUUCUCA
rnacentral:rRNA from 1 species